ensembl:processed_transcript 1700001G11Rik RIKEN cDNA 1700001G11 gene
GGUCCGCGAUCUCCGUUAGCUCCAAGGCGGAAGGAUCUGUCGUCCCACCGCAGUGUCGGGUUUCCGUUGUCAAAUAGGAAGUGAAGCCACGGGCCGCCAUCCUUAAGCAAUUCCCGCUAUCUCAGACUCCUGGUCGUCCGCUGACUUUGGUCGGGCUUACUGCCACCUCGAGGUAGCGGGAAGACCUGAGGAGUUGAGAUUCCCGGCUUGUGGUUGGAUAAAUGAGUUCCAGUGUAAAAUGGUGGUUUCCGUGAAAAGGGCGUGUGAGAACGAAAUUAAUAGGGAAGCAUGCUCGUGGCAUCUUCAUUAAAGUCAGGAACCACAGACGGGAUGGUUUAUAAAGAAUAGAGGUUCCAGAGGCAGGGAAAUUCAAGAACUGGGUGCCAGCCUUCCUGCUGCAUCUUGAUGCGAUAGAGAGAGAGUCACAUGCCCAGACAGACAAGCCUGCCUGCUCAGAUCUCACUUCUUCCUGUAAAGCCACUGGUGGUGUUUAUGGAAAGUCCAUGCUGGAAUAGAGCUAACAAGGACUGGGCUCUGCCCUCAUCGCCUCAUUUGAAGAACCUCCUUCUACAAGCCUCAUUUCAAUUAGCAACUCCAAUUUAAGGAUUGAGUUUCCAAGGCAUGGACUUUUGGGUGUCUGCUGAAACCCUGGCAAAGAAGGACGGCAUGCCUACCUCCCUUCUAGCCUCCCCUCCUCUUUCUCUCUCCUCCUUUCUGUUUAAAGCAGAGAUCAAGGAAUAAAAGCAAGGAUUGUUCUAUGG